rnacentral:rRNA from 1 species
CGGCGUGCCUAACACAUGCAAGUCGUACGAGAAAGUUGGCUUCGGCUGAUGAGUAAAGUGGCGCACGGGUGAGUAAUGCGUGGAUAAUCUGCCCUUUAGUUGGGAAUAACGUACCGAAAGGUGCGCUAAUACCUGAUAAUACUGCAUAACUACUGUUGUGUAGUCAAAGAAGGCCUCUGUUUACAAGCUUUUGCUGAAGGAUGAGUCCGCGUACCAUUAGCUGGUUGGUGGGGUAAUGGCCUACCAAGGCUACGAUGGUUAGCUGGUCUGAGAGGAUGAUCAGCCACACUGGAACUGAGACACGGUCCAGACUCCUACGGGAGGCAGCAGUGAGGAAUAUUGCGCAAUGGGGGCAACCCUGACGCAGCAACGCCGCGUGAGUGAGGAAGGUUUUCGGACCGUAAAGCUCUGUCGAGCGGGAAGAAAUGUAUCAUGGCUAAUAUCCAUGAUACUUGACGGUACCGCUAAAGGAAGCACCGGCUAACUCCGUG